rnacentral:misc_RNA from 1 species
GAAGACGAUGGGACUGCGCCCUGGAACGACUGCCAACAUGAGAAACGGUCGGGGUGGAGGAGGUGGUCUUAGCCCUGCUGGAUUGCCUAUCAAAGGACCUGGAACUGGAGGUAUGAUGCCCGGAAUGCCGGGAUCAAGAAAGAUGCCUGGGACGCCGAGCCUCGACGGCGACGAUUGGGAGGUUGCACGAUCAAAGUCUAAGGGUAAUGCCAAUAGGAUGCCUAGUAAUGUCAGCAAGCCUCCUCCAUCCAUAAAUUCUAAGCUUCUACCCCAAGGUGGCGGUAGCUUGAUUGCUGGCAAGACGAGUGCAUUGUUGCAGGUUAGCGGAGGCCCGUCUCUCCCCUCGCCACCGUCCAGUCUUGUGUCAGGUCAGGUGCAGGCCGCACAGAGUGUUGGACCCUCGAAAACUCUUGAGAAGCCAAUACUGAAGUCAAAUCCUGCUGAGCUGCGUAAGAAAACUGUUUCACUUCUGGAGGAGUACUUCCACAUUCGUGAUUUGAAUGAAGCGCUGCAGUGCGUGGAGGAGCUGAAUUGCCCUGAAUACCACCCUGAGGUUGUCAAGGAGGCUGUCUAUCUUGCUCUGGACAAGGGGCAGUCGAGUAUUGAUCCUGUCAUGAGGCUUCUGGAGCACUUACUUGGCAAGAAGGUUCUUACCCCGAAGGACUUUGGGACUGGUUGCUUGCUAUAUGCAUCUAUGUUGGAUGAUGUGGGCAUUGAUCUGCCCAAGGCACCUACUCACUUUGGUGAAGUGGUCGGAAGGCUCAUCUGGGUUGGCGGGCUGGGUUUUAUUGUGGUGGUGGAAAUACUGAAGAAGGUUGAAGAAGUCGAUUUCCGCAUGGCGAUAUAUAAUGCCUUGAUGAGGUUCCUCAAGGCGACACCAGUUGGUCAGGCCAUCGUGGAUGGGCAUGUGUCUGAGGUCGAAGCUUGUGAGAGCCUGCUCGGUUGAAGGUCGAGACUAUCGGUGAGAGUUUUUGAUCCUUGUGCUUUUUUGCUUCUCUCAAUUAGCUGAAGACUCUUGUCACAAUCUUGGUCAUCGAAAAUGGACAUGUGGUGAGCAAUUUUAAUGUUAUGAGCUGUAUAUUUCUGCGUGGUCG